rnacentral:rRNA from 1 species
GACGAACGCUGGCGGCGUGCUUAACACAUGCAAGUCGAACGGAAAGGCCCUGCUUGCCGGGUACUCGAGUGGCGAACGGGUGAGUAACACGUGGGUGAUCUGCCCUGCACUUCGGGAUAAGCCUGGGAAACUGGGUCUAAUACCGGAUAGGAGCCAUCCUUAGUGUGAUGGUUGGAAAGUUUUUUUGGUGUGGGAUGAGCUCGCGGCCUAUCAGCUUGUUGGUGGGGUAAUGGCCUACCUAGGCGGCGACGGGUAGGCGGCCUGGGAGGGUGGACGGCCACAUUUGGACUGAGAUACGGCCCAGACUCCUACGGGAGGCAGCAGUGGGGAAUAUUGCACAAUGGGCGCAAGCCUGAUGCAGCGACGCCGCGUGGGGGAUGACGGCCUUCGGGUUGUAAACUCCUUUCGCUAGGGACGAAGCUUUUUGUGACGGUACCUAGAUAAGAAGCACCGGCUAACUACGUG